rnacentral:rRNA from 1 species
AUACGAAAGGUGCAAGCGUUGUUCGGAUUUACUGGGCGUAAAGAGAGUGUAGGUUGUUUAUUAAGUCGGAUGUGAAAUCCCGGGGCUCAACCUCGGAACUGCAUUCGAUACUGGUAGACUAGAGUUCGGGAGGGGUAAGCGGAAUUCCGUGUGUAGCAGUGAAAUGCGUAGAUAUACGGAGGAACACCUGAGGCGAAGGCGGCUUGCUGGACUGAUACUGACACUGAGACUCGAAAGCGUGGGUAGCAAACAGGAUUAGAUACCCCGGUAGUCC